GAGUAAACUCAUGGAUAAGCAUGAGUUUACAGAUUUUGGGAUGAUUUUUCGACCCAAAUGAAAUAGUUUGGCCGGGAACUUCUAAGACACGCGGUGUUUGCGGGUUUUAAAUUUCAAAACCCGAGACGACACUUUCUUACACCCGUUCGUUUAAAGAAUAAUAUUAAAAUAAUCAAACGAACUCCAAAUUUGUUAAAAUAAGAAAUAAUGACGUUAACUUAUAAUAAGAAGUGAUUGACUUCUAGGGUUUGACCGAAUGAAAAUUCCGAGUUGUCACAUCAUCCCCCCGUUAAAGGGAAUUUUGUCCUGAAAUUAAAGUCUAAGCAAAUAACGUAUUUACGGUAACUAAGNCGUAUUUACAGGUAACUAAGGAAAAAGAUGAGGAUAUUUUCGUUUCAUCUGAUCCUCUCGUUCCCAAGUGAAUUAUGGUCCUCGUUUUGCAUUCCAGCGAACCUUCACUAUUGGGAUACGGCUUUGUUUUGUUUGCUUGACUUCUCGGUCCAUGAUCUCUAUUGGUUCCUCCACGAAGUUGAGGCUCUCGUUAAUCUCGAUCUCAUCGAGUGGAAUAACAAGAGUCUCUUCGGAUAAACACUUUUUCAAGUUCGACACGUGGAAGGUAGAAUGUGCGUUACUGAGUUCACGCGGUAGAUUGAGUUUGUAAGCUACAUGGCCGAUUCUUGCGAGAAUCUCGAAAGGCCCAAUGUAUCUUGGAUUGAGCUUCCCAUGCUUUCUAAAGCGUAUCAAGCCCUUCCAGGGUGAGACCUUUAGUAGAACUCGGUCGCCCACCUGGAAUUCCAACGGUUUCCUUCGCUUGUCUGCGUAGCUUUUCUUUCGGUCUCUAGAGGCUUUCAAUCAUUCACGAAUUUGAAUGAUCUUUUCUGUCGUUUCCCGAAUGAUUUCCGAACCCGUGAGAGUUCUUUGGGGAACUCGUCCCUUAGCUAACUGGGUAUCACCCACCUCAGCCCAGCACAGAGGAGAUCUGCACUUUCGGCCAUAGAGGGCCUCGAAUGGCGCUGCCUUUAUGCUCGUGUGAUAACUGUUGUUGUAGGAAAAUUCAACAAGGGGUAAAUGGAUAUCCCAAGCUUUCCCAAAGUCAAUCACACAGGCUCGCAACNGAUAGUUCUCUCACUUUGCCCGUCGGUCUGUGGAUGGUAGGCUGUACUCAUGUCCAGCCUAGUUCCUAGGGAACUUUGUAAUGACUGCCAGAACCUCGAAGUGAAUCUACUAUCUCGGUCCGAGAUGAUAGAUAAAGGAACACCGUGCAGCCUUACAAUCUCCCUAAUGUAAGUUCUGGUAAGUUUCUCCAUCUUGUCUGUUUCUUUGAUCGGUAGGAAGUGUGCAGACUUGGUCAGUCUAUCGACGAUGACCCAUAUGGAAUCAAGUCCACCCGUCGUCUUGGGCAACUUGGUUAUGAAAUCCAUAGUGAUCCGCUCCCAUUUCCAUUCUGGAAUCUCUGGUUGUUGCAAUAAACCAGAGGGCUUCUGGUACUCGACCUUCACCUUCGCGCAAGUAAGGCACUUACUUACGAAGGUAGCAAUAUCUGCUUUCAUGUUAGGUCACCAGUAUAGCUUUUUAAGAUCCAGAUACAUCUUAUCUGAACCCGGUUGGACGAAAUAACGAGUGUUGUGAGUGUCGGUCAUGACCAAGUCUCUAAAGCCACCAUGUUUCGGUGUCCAGAUCCGAUCCAUGAAGUAUAAGGCUCCACUACCAUUGACUUCCAAUUUCUUAUCCAUUCCUCUCCAGGAUUCACCUGCCACAUUUUCAGGUUUCAAAGCGUCGAGCUAAGCUUCCUUAAUUUGCAUGGACAAGUGUGAAUGGAUAUUUAGAGUCAAAGAUUUGACUCUACGACCAGUAUAUUCUUUCCGACUUAGGGCGUCGGCUACUACAUUGGCUUUACCCGGAUGAUAACGAAUUUCGCACUCGUAAUCACUGAGUAGCUCGACCCACCGUCGUUGUCUCAUGUUGAGCUCUUUCUGGUCGAAAAUGUGUUGUAGACUCUUAUGGUCUGUAAAGAUCGUGCUUUUUGUACCGUAUAGGUAAUGUCGCCAGAUCUUCAGAGCAAACACAACUGCUCCUAGUUCAAGAUCGUGGGUUGUGUAGUUAACCUCAUGUGUCUUCAGCUGUCUCGAGGCAUAGGCGAUGACUUUACCUCGCUGCAUCAGAACACAUCCGAGUCCUUGAUUGGAUGCAUCGCAAUAGACAAUGAAGUCUUCUAUUCCUUCGGGAAGGGAUAGUAUCGGGGCGGUGCACAAGGCUCGUUUGAGCGUUUGGAACGCUCUUUCCUGUUUCUCUUCCCAGUCAAAGGCCACGCCUUUCUGGGUCAGGGUUGUAAGAGGUUUCGCUAUGAGGGAGAAGUUCUGAAUGACCCUGCGAUAGUAGCCAGCGAGACCUAGAAAUUGACGAAUUUCUGUAGGUGUCUUCGGUGCUGGCCAGUUCUCAAUGGCCUUGAUUUUGAAAGGGUCCACGUGUAUUCCUUUUUCGCUAACAACAUGACCCAAGAACUCGACUCGUCGGAUCCAAAAUUCGCACUUGGAGAACUUCGCAUAGAGCUUCUCCGCUCGCAAUGUUUCUAAGACCAUACGGAGAUGUUGACUAUGUUCUUCCUUACUUCGAGAGUAGAUAAGUAAGGACGACACACCCUAUUCAUCAGGUCCAUGAAUACUGCGGGCGCGUUAGUUAAUCCGAACGGCAUCACCACAAACUCGUAGUGUCCAUAACGAGUUUGGAAGGUUGUCUUGGGAACAUCCUCCUCUAACACUCGCAGUUGGUGAUAUCUGGAUCGUAGAUCUAUCUUCGAGAAGUAGUUGGCUCCUUGAAGUUGAUCAAAUAAAUCGUCAAUGUGGGGCAAAGUAUAACGAUUUUUAAUGGUAAGUUUGUUGAGUUCUCUAUAGUCGAUGCACAUGUGAAACGAUCCAUCUUUCUUCUUGACGAACAAGACCGGUGCUCCCCAAGGUGAGAAGCUUGGUCGUAUGAAUCCCUUCUUGAGCAGUUCGUUAAGCUGACUGGAAAGUUCCUGCAUCUCGGCCGGUGCCAGACGAUAAGGAGAUUUGGCUACUGGAGUAGCUCCUGGCACUAAGUCGAUUUUGAAUUCGACUUGGCGUUGUGGUGGUAAUCCGGGAAGUUCUUCUGGGAAGAUGUCUGGAAAGUCGCGUACUUCUGGGAUGUUCUGAAUGUCUUUCAUUUCUUGACUUGUAUCAAUGACGUGCGUGAGGAAUGCAUGAUAUUCCUUUCGCAAGCACUUCUGGGCAUGAAUGCACGAAAUGAUGCGAAGGAUCGUACUAGGUUUGUCGCCAUAGAUAACUAAGGUUUCGUUGUUAGGAAGGUUAAGACGAACUGCUUUUUCAAAGCACACGAUGUCGGGGCGAAGAAGACUCAACCAAUCCAUGCCGAUGAUAACGUCGAAACAUUUAAUUGGGAGCGGCAUGAGGUCUAUCUUGAAAGUAUGGCCAUAUAAAGUUAACGUACAACCUACGAAUAUGCAGUUAGUACUCUCUGUUUUCCCGUUAGCCAUUUCUACCGUGAAUGAAUUAUCUAAUGCACGUGGUUUUUGUUUAAGCAGGUGUGCAAAUUUGUGACUUACGAAACUUUUCUCUGCUCCACUGUCGAAAAGUAUGCAAGCAUAUGAGUUAUCGAGGAGAAACGUACCAGUAACUAUCGUAGGAUCAGCUACCGCUUCCUCGUGGCCUAGGUCCAUAACUCUUCCUACUCCUCCAGCCAUCCAUGCUUUAGGGCAGUUCCUCUUGUAGUGGCCCACUUCGCCACAACCAUAGCAAGCUUGGCCCAUACCGGCAUUAGGAACCUGGGCGGCCUGAGCUGUUGUAGUCUUGCAGAAACGGGUUGUAUGCCCCUUCCUGUUGCAGUUAGAGCACUGCAUCUCCUUGCAAGGGCCGUGGUGGCGGAAGCUGCACUUGUUGCACUUCGGGAGAGUCCCAGCAUAAGUUUUUGAUGGUAAGGGGUUUACAGGGGCAACGGGAGUUACCGUGGCAGCAUUGAUUACCACAAGUUUUUGUCUCUUGGAGGAUUCCUACGAAGCCCCCCUCUUUCUCUUGUUCCACCCCUUCUUGUUGUCGUUGACCUUUUGUGGUACGGGUGCAGGGAUUGUUGGGUUCUGAGGUUUCCUGUGAUCGAUGAGAGAUUGUGCCAGCUCCUUGGCACUAUCAAAAGUGACAGGCUUGGAAGCUAACACACUUGACUGGAUCUAGGGCGACAGUCCCCAGAUGUAUCUCUCUAUUUUCUUGCUCUCGAGAGCAACCAUGUCAGGGCAUAGGAUUGCCAGAUCACAGAACCUAUUUGUGUAGGUUGAUAUGUCGGAUCCAACCAUUUGUAGACCUCAGAGUUCUUGCUCGAGUUUUUGUAUUUCACCUCGAGGACAGUACUCCCUGAUCAACAUGUCCUUCAAGUGUUCCCAGCUCAUGGAAUAUGCCACCACUAAAGUCAGAUACUUAACAUGGCCGUUCCACCAUGUUAAUGCUCUGUCAGAGAAGGUACAAGCUGCGAACUUGACCUUGUUGCCCUCCUGGCAAGCACAUAUUUCAAAGACAGAUUCCAUCUUUUCAAUCCAUUGCCUUAACACCAUAAUCCCACCAGUACCAUUGAAGCUACGGGGCUUGGCAUUCGUGAAGUCCUUAUAGGGGCAUUCCCGAGGGUGUCCAUGGCUUUCGCCGUGGUUCGAGGGAGGUGCACCUUUUCCUGAUCCACUAGGGACAGGGGCGUUGAUGGCUGACACAGCAGCUACAACUGUUGUUGCGAAAGCUGCCUGGAACAUAGUGACAUCGAAGGGAGGAGGUGGUUGAGGAGGUUGAGAUGGUGGUGGAGGUGGUGGUAUCGGUGUUUCUUUGAUGGGGUUACGUCUGGGAUUUCUGUGUGGCGGAAUCUUUAACAAAGUUUUUACAUAAACUAGGUUAUAUCCAAAAGACAAGUCGUCGAGAUUCUAUCGGCAACGAGAACUGCUAGCAUGAGUUCUUGAUCCCGACAGUAGACGUUCCAUGUCCCUCAUACGCCUGUCAGCUCUCACUUGCUGAGCUCGAAGUUCCCUAACUUCGGCUUAAGUUUCAGCAAGUUCCCUCCGCAGAGCUGCAUUGUGGACCAGAGUCCUUUCAUGAGCAGACUCUAGUUGGUGAAUGCGGACUGUGUUGACGCCAGAGUUGGCAUCAAUCUCCAAGACUCGAUUGAUAGUUAAUUGACCCAGUAUCGUGUUCCUAUAAAUUCUACGAACCAUGAUGGGUAAGACCCUGUCAGCAUAUCCUCCCUUAGUGAGGUUGUAGAAACUUCUGUGUCCGUUGUAGGGAAUGGGUUGACCCUGUUCCUGACUCCAUCUAUUCAAGUUAGUGGCCCACAGAGGUGUGGGUCCUUGAAAUGCGGGACGAGGGUUCAGGUUUGGAUCUUGAGCAGCUGGGGGUAGGUUGUUGACUUCAGGCUCCGAGUCAGAACUAUCGGAAAAACCCUCAGCAUGGUGAUCGUCCAAAGGGAUUGGGUGAUCAUCUUCUAGUUCUUACUCUAGCCAUCCAGCGUUGCCUUGGUUUGGAAAGUACAGAUCGCCAUGGUGAAAUCCAGCCAUUUAAAAUCUACGCGAGAAAAGGGAUAUAAGAAAUAGCUAAAAUAGAUGAACUGACUAAGAUAGUUACAGUAAGACUAAAUACCCCUAUGGUAUUACUUUAUGGUUGUGUUGGUAAGUUUUUAGACUUGUUGCCACAUCACAACCAUUCUUGGGCAUAUGCUAAUCACUCCUUGGACCACCAAAGUUGAUCAGGCUAUGUCAUUCCCAAGACUGACCAUAUAUCCCCAGGCUUACUUGUGAUAUUCAACAAUCGUAAUACUUUUGUUCUGGUCAUUGUGACACUGAUUUUAGUAUGAAUGCAGGCACAUAUACUUACUUAAAUUUUUUUUAUUAUUUAAAAGUAUAACUAUUAGACAGAGUGUUUUAAUCCCAAUGUAUUUAUAGUUAGUAUAUCUUUUAUGGGUUGAUAUACUAUAUUCACUAUAAACAAUUCUCUGAUACCAAUCUGUCACACCCCAAAACCAAGAACGGCGGAAACGUUCCGGGAUGGAGGACAUCAUGUACAGUAUCACAAACAACGUAAAGUAGUAAACAAGCAACAACAUCAUCCAUUGCAUUAAAAGUAAAGUUUUUAAUACAUGUGUGUUCUUUCAAUGUAAAAAGACACCAAAAAUACAAUCAAAAUAAAAGACGAGUCUUGUCUGUGCUCCGUCUUCUCAAAACCUGGCCACCGUACCUGUCUACUGGUGACCUGAGAAUACAAGUUAUUUUGAAAUCGAGUAUCAGCUUAAAGCUGGUGAAUUCAUAAGUAAUUAAGUGUCAUUGUCUUGUUUUGGAAAAACUGUUAUGAAUGCCCUGUAAAUCUUUAAAUGAAACGGUUGAUGUAAGUAAUGAAAAACCCUAGAAAAUCCCUUAUUUCCUACUAGUAUGAAAUGUAGUCUUCUACCAAGACCUGAAUGUUUUGUAAGUAAAAUGAUAGUUUUUCCCUGCUAAUGACUAAUACUUAAACUACUUAGUCUAACUCCUCGUUUAUGUGAAUGUAUCACCAAAUAAAGUAAUAGGAAAAUGUACUAAUGUAAUUGUUAUCCUUUUUGUACGAGGAUUAACACGACAUCGCAAUUACCGAAAUGUAUAACCUUUGAACAUCCGUAGAUUUUUCAAUUGUCCUCUGUAGCUGCAGCAGGGCGGAGGAAGGGUUAGUCCCGUAAAGGUACUCCUAUUAUAAGUAUUAACCGUAGGCAUCCGUAAAUGUUCAUCGACCUCUAUAGCGAAUAGUAGGCCCGAGGAAUGGUUAGUCCCGUAAAGGUACUCCUAUUAUAAGUAUUAACCGUAGGCAUCCGUAAAUGUUCAUCGACCUCUAUAGCGAAUAGUAGGCCCGAGGAAUGGUUAGUCCCGUCUAGAUAUCCCGUUGAACUGGGAUAGGCAGGACAAUUUACACAAAAGGUACUAACAAAUCAUCUCAAUGAAUCGAGGUACAAGUAUCCAUGUAAAUGUAUACAGGAAAAUGUAUCUACGUAAAGGUACUCAUGUAAUGUAUUCAUGUAAGGUACUCAUGUAAUGUAUUCACGUAAGGUACUCAAGUAAUGUAUUCAUGUAAGGUACUCAUGUAAUGUAUUCAUGUAAGGUACUCAUGUAAUGUAUUGUAUAGACUAAUGAAUAAACUGACUCUGAUGUCAUUCCUUGUAAUAAGAAUAAUGUUUUGUAUCUUCUAACUAUCCCUAUAAUAGUUAACUGGAAGGUAAUUGGUUGUCCAAGUAGGUUAAAAAUGGUUAUGUAAAACAUCUAAGAGUUUUGAGCAAUAAGUAACAAUGACUUGAUGUCACUUUAAUAAACAUUUCAAACGUAAUACUGUUGCUAUCAAGGUAUUUUUUAAGAUAUAAAACCAUUUCAUGCAUCACGUUUUGUAGUAUGUGAAAUCUACUAAAUGAAACACAGUUAUAAAUACAUAUGAUUGAUUAAAUAACAUGUUGUUUUCUACCUGUAUCCCCCUUAUUAAAGAUUAAAAUUAUUUAAAACAUUGAUUAAGGGGUAUGAACUCACUUGUGGUGAGUGGAUUGGAUUGAAGUGUCGGUUACGGUGCUAGGUGACAAAUGAAGACUUAUACACACGCACGAGCCUAGUUAUCAUAUAAUGAACAUAUAUAUAACUAAUUAGCCAAUUUAUAACUAAUAAAUUAACUUGGGGCACCCUAGAACAUGAAAACACUUUGUUUCAAGUGCUAAAGAUCACAAGGAUUGCAUCAAAGUGUUGGUAGGGCAAACCUAGUGUGUUUGGAGUCCAAGGGUAAACCCCCUUGGAGUUUACGGUUUUUAUGGUCAAGACCUAGGGAGUUUACGGCAGUAAAGUCUAGAGUUUACGGUCGUAAACUCUAGUCUUAAUGUCCAAGUGUUGUUUUGUGGUUUAGCAAGCCUUUUGAAGCAAUUCUAGUAAGUGGUUUGGCCUUUGGAAGGGACUAGGGCAACAAAACACCUCCUUUGAGGAGUUUACGGCCUAAUGGCAUUUUCCUUUGGGUUUACUACCGUAAACCCUUAUGGAGAAGUGUAUUUCCAUGUUUUCAAGUCCCUAACACAAUUAGGUAAGUGUAUGUGCUAGUUUUUAAGCCUAAGGAAGGAAAAUAACCCAUUUAGACACACUUUAGGGUGUUUACGGUUUUGGGAGAUCCCCAAACCGUAAACACCUAUACAUGUUGCAUUUUGGUGUUUUUCAAGGCUUAGAUACAUCAAAGGAAGGUUUAAUCAAUUCAUGGAAGGCUUAAACAUCAAACUUGGGCUUAGAUAAGGACUUAGGCACACUUUGAUGCUCUUUUUGGUGUUUACGGUCCAAGCAUCUCCUUGGACCGUGAACACCUAUAUCCUUGUGUUCUUGACAAAUUUCCUUGAUAUUCAAAUGUAAUACUAGCUUAAAAUCACUCAAGGAUGAAAGCACUUACUAUUAGAAGGCUUGAUUUGAGCUAAAAUGCCAAGAACACCUAGUGUGUGUUCUUGGUGUUUUGGAAAUCUAGUCAAAAUACAAAAGUGAAUGGAUGAAUAGAUGCACAAACACUAGAUUAAGUGUUUAAUCAACCUGAAAUGGAUAGAACACUUACAACUUGGAAGAUCUUGAAUUGUUUCUAGUUUGCUACUUGAGAGGUUUUAUUGAGUUUACUCUUUUGGGAGUUUACUCUUUUGGAUAAAUGGGGAGUAAGCUAAUAUUGACUAGACUUAGGGAAUAAACUCAUGGAUAAGCAUGAUGUGACAACCCGAAAUUUCCAUUGUACGAACAUCAUCUAUUCAAUAGAAGCUAGUUCAGUUUCAGUGAUUUUCAAGCUUUUCCGAACAAGUUUGUGUACAUUAGGGUUUAUGUUUUAGAUGAUAUCAGGAGAGUGGAUACUCCUGGUUUUGUGAAACUUGGGCAUUUCAAGUUUCAUACUCUGACAGUCCAACAUCAGGAAUAAAAAGAUUUUCUGCCAAAAUAUUCCNNNNNNNNNNNNNNNNNNNNNNNNNNNNNNNNNNNNNNNNNNNNNNNNNNNNNNNNNNNNNNNNNNNNNNNNNNNNNNNNNNNNNNNNNNNNNNNNNNNNCGCCCCAGAAAGUUUCCGCCGUUCUUGGUUUUGGGGUGUGACACAUGAGUUUACGGAUUUUAGGAUGAUUUUUCGACCCAAAUGAAAUAGUUUGGCCGGGAAUUUCUAAGACGCGCGGUGUUUGCGGUUUUUAAAUUUAAAAACCCGAGACCGCACUUUCUUACACCUGUUCGUUUAAAGAAUAAUAUUAAAAUAAUCAAACUAACUCCAAAUUUAUUAAAAUAAG
rnacentral:lncRNA from 1 species